ensembl:lncRNA
CAGUGAAGGAGCAGCAGGACCAGAGCUGCAGAGCGCUGUCCCACCUGAUUCGAGACCCACUCUUCCUCGUCUCCUUCGUCCACACCCUGGAGGAGCAGAAGAACUUCCACGUCAAGGACAAGUGGAAUUGGAACCAGGUGUAUGGUUGAUUGGCUGGACUACAAAAGCCCUGAUCAGACUGAAGUCGGGAGAGCGUUGGAUUGGUCGUUGGUGUUUGAAUAGAGAUUGGUUUUGGAUUGUCGUUGGUUUUGGAGUGUCUUGGUUUUGGAGUGUCGUUGGUUGUGGAUUAUCGUCGUUGUUUGUUUAUAUUACCAUUUACCUGACUUUACAUUACAUCUUUUGUUUCUCUUCACAACACUGAUCUUCACCACACGUUUGCUAUAAUUAUUAGAUAACUAUAUAAACUUGUAAACCAUUAAUAAAUAUAUUAUUAUUAUUAUUAUCCUAAAUUAUGCGUGGCCUCCCCUUCUUGUUUCGUGCCUUGAGCUGGCUCGUAACAGUCACUAUAGGGGCAUAUGUGACUUUCACUAUAGGGCAGCGGUAUUCAAUUCAAAUUCAACGAGGUCCAGUUACAGUAAAUUUCCUCAAGCAGAGGUCCAGAACAUCAUAAUGUCUAACUUGCGUUAUGAUUCAGUGCCAUAUAUAUUAAAGUAGCCCAGUAUGUAUCAACGUCUGUCAAAUCAAAUAAAGAAAGUACAAUUCAGGGGCUCCAUCUGUGGUUAUUGAAAACACUUGUUUCGGCUCUAUUCCCCUCUUUGUUAACAUCUCCUUUGUGGCCAGGUAAAUGUCCUCUCCUCUUGUACUGGUCUGAAGGGGUGUAACACCUAACAAGCCUUCCCAGAACUCUUUCUUCUUCUGUUGAAGAACCUUACAUAAACUAACAGCUGAGCAUUGUCACACACAUCAGUGGACUCAUCUACAGCUAAGCCUACACAUGGUGCUUUAUGAAUUGCUUCAUCCAGCUGUGCCAGCACAUCCUGGGUUAAUAUUUCAGUUUUCUUUGUGGCUGAUGAUGCUGACAUAGGUAUUU